rnacentral:tRNA from 1 species
GCGGGUUUGGUCGGGUUGAUUGCAGGUCUGGGGUGCCUGCUUGUUUUGGGUUUCUUCAGUGGGUGGGCCCCUCACCCUAGCCCUCUCC